rnacentral:rRNA from 1 species
GCAGCAGCUGCGGUAAUUCCAGCUCUAAUAGCGUAUAUUAAAGUUGUUGCAGUUAAAAAGCUCGUAGUCGGAUGUCGGGCUCGGGCAGGCUGUCGGCUUCGGUCGGACGGCAGGCUCGGGUCUUUCUGCCUGAGGAACCCGUGGCACUUAACUGUGCGGCGUGGGGACGCAGGCCGUUUACUUUGAAAAAAUUAGAGUGUUCAAAGCAGGCCUACGCUUGAAUACAUUAGCAUGGAAUAAUGGAAUAGGACUUUGGUGCUAUUUUGUUGGUUUAUGGGACCGAAGUAAUGAUUAACAGGGACAGGCGGGGCUAUUCGUAUUGCAUUGUCAGAGGUGAAAUUCUUGGAUUUCUGCAAGACGAGCUACUGCGAAAGCAUUUAGCAAGGAUGUUUUCAUUAAUCAAGAACGAAAGU